AUACGGAGGGUGCAAGCGUUAAUCGGAAUUACUGGGCGUAAAGCGUACGUAGGCGGUUCGUUAAGUUAGAUGUGAAAGCCCCGGGCUUAACCUGGGAACUGCAUUUAAAACUGGCGAACUAGAGUUGAGUAGAGGGGAGUGGAAUUUCAGGUGUGGCGGUGAAAUGCGUAGAGAUCUGAAGGAACACCAGUGGCGAAGGCGGCUCCCUGGACUCAAUCUGACGCUGAGGUACGAAAGCGUGGGUAGCAAACGGGAUUAGAAACCCUAGUAGUCC
rnacentral:rRNA from 1 species